rfam:Aedes albopictus isolate Foshan contig142307, whole genome shotgun sequence.
CUUCUAGUGGUGUAGUGGCAACGCGCCUAUCUAGUGAGUAGGAGCCGUGAGUUCGAGUCUCACCGAGAGGA